UUUCAGAUCUAGUUUUAAAAAAGACUAUGAAGCACACAGCCACCUAUGCACCUCCUGAUUGGGACUGGCUGAGAUGGAGCACCCAUGUUUAGUCGUUCAGGCUUCAGCUGACAGUUCACAACUCCACUUGUCAUCUUCGCUGGGACACAGGGAGGAGACUGUGCAGAAGUUGCUCAGCGAGUGUCAGUAGUGCAGUGGGGACGGCGUGCCAGGGCUGCUCGAGGGAAGCACGGAGAUACGGAGCUUUCUGAAGACUUUCCAACACCCUUCCCCUGGCCUUGCAGAAAGGUAAUCCCCCGUUUUCCGGAAAUCCGACAUGGCCAGCCAACAAGUCCUUAGCGUGCAGGAGCCGCUGACCCCAUGGCAUUUGCACUCCAGCUUCAGGAAGCGCUUCACAGCCUGCAGGAAUGGGAGCACAUCAGGACUGGGAAUGGAGGCCACGACCAGCGGGACCAUCCUGGAUGUAUUCAAGGCCAGGCUGGCUGUGGCUCUGGGCAGCUGGUCUAGCAGUUGGCAACCCCGCACGUAGCAGAGGGGUUGAAACGAGAUGAGCUUUGAGGUCCUUUUCAACCCAGGCCAUUCUAUGAUCCUAUGAAAGGAGCCCCAGGGAUGGGUUCUCCUCGGGAUGGCGGAGCUCUGCACCCUGCCCUGCCCCCACAAACACACCCCUGGCAGCCCUGGGAGGCGUCCCAGCCGCACUCACCAUCCUGCCGCAGCGGUUGUUGUGCAGGUUCAUCAGCGCCCGCGCGUCCUUCACUUUCUUCUCCUUGGCAUCCACGAAGGCUUUGGCGAAGCGGAUGCCGUAGUUGAUGUUGUCGCUGCAGCCGCCCCAGUCGAACUCCCCGCGCUCAUCCUUGGCCCGGCCGCGCUUCAGUGGGUCACAGCCGCAGGCCUUCAGCUCCCCUUGGCUGCAGGCGCGCGUGAUGGCGUACACCACCCCGGCCGAGGAGAUGGCGUAGACGAAGGCGGCCUCCCUGCUGCCUGCGGGCACAGAGCCUGAGGGGGAGGAUGUGAAGAACCGUUCUCUCCCUCCCCCAUCCCAACCCACACCCCUGCAUCGGAGCACAACACGGGCACACAGCAGCACCUACUUCGCAGCAUCACCCUCCCGAAGACGGUGUGGUCCCGGUCCAGGGUGCUGCAGUUCCAGCGGUGGUGACGGAAUUGGUACUGGCACUCACGGAUCCACUCCUUGGCUCCCUCCCCGACGGACUGCAUGAUGUCGGGGUACCUCUGGCACAGCUGCCUCUGCUUGUUCACCAGCCCCGGGAUGUUGUCGCAGAUCACCCUCGCCCCCAGCGCCCCGAUGUACCUGCAGGGAGAAGGGAACGGUGUGGAGGUGCCUGGAGGUGCACCUCUGGGCCCCAUCCCUGCUGCUGUGCGGCACAGGCACCAAUGCAGCUCAGGUGGAAGAGGAGGAGAUGUGAGCUUCACUUGCUGCUGCAGGCCUUGCUCAUGCUGCUAGCACCAAGCCACGUUUAAGAUCGUG
rnacentral:lncRNA from 1 species